rnacentral:rRNA from 1 species
GGGUUGUGAGGUUAAGCGACUAAGCGUACACGGUGGAUGCCCUGGCAGUCAGAGGCGAUGAAGGGCGUGCUAAUCUGCGAUAAGCGCCGGUAAGGUGAUAUGAACCGUUAUAACCGGCGAUACCCGAAUGGGGAAACCCAGUGUGACUCGUCACACUAUCAUUAACUGAAUCCAUAGGUUAAUGAGGCGAACCGGGGGAACUGAAACAUCUAAGUACCCCGAGGAAAAGAAAUCAACCGAGAUUCCCCCAGUAGCGGCGAGCGAACGGGGAGGAGCCCAGAGCCUGAAUCAGCAUGUGUGUUAGUGGAAGCGUCUGGAAAGGCGCGCGAUACAGGGUGACAGCCCCGUACACAAAAGCGCAUGUGCUGUGAGCUCGAUGAGUAGGGCGGGACACGUGGUAUCCUGUCUGAAUAUGGGGGGACCAUCCUCCAAGGCUAAAUACUCCUGACUGACCGAUAGUGAACCAGUACCGUGAGGGAAAGGCGAAAAGAACCCCGGCGAGGGGAGUGAAAAAGAACCUGAAACCGUGUACGUACAAGCAGUGGGAGCACCCUUUGGGUGUGACUGCGUACCUUUUGUAUAAUGGGUCAGCGACUUAUAUUCUGUAGCAAGGUUAACCGAAUAGGGGAGCCGGAGGGAAACCGAGUCUUAACCGGGCGUUAAGUUGCAGGGUAUAGACCCGAAACCCGGUGAUCUAGCCAUGGGCAGGUUGAAGGUUGGGUAACACUAACUGGAGGACCGAACCGACUAAUGUUGAAAAAUUAGCGGAUGACCUGUGGCUGGGGGUG